AGAGGGGUGCAAGCGUUAAUCGGAAUGACUGGGCGUAAAGGGCGUGUAGGUGGACAUGCAAGUCAAAGGGUGAAAUCCCCGGGCUUAACCUGGGAACUGCCUUUGAAACUGCGUGUCUAGAGUAUUGGAGAGGGAAGUGGAAUUUCCGGUGUAGCGGUGAAAUGCGUAGAUAUCGGAAGGAACACCAGUGGCGAAGGCGACUUCCUGGCCAAAUACUGACACUGAGGCGCGAAAGCGUGGGUAGCGAACAGGAUUAGAUACCCUGGUAGUCCACGCCGUAAACGACGAGAACUAGAUGUUGGGUAGCUUAGACUACUUAGUGUCGUAGCUAACGCGAUAAGUUCUCCGCCUGGGGAGUACGGCCGCAAGGUUA
rnacentral:rRNA from 1 species